GAUGAACGCUGGCGGCGCGCCUAACACAUGCAAGUCGAACGGCACCUGCCCUCGGGCAGAAGCGAGUGGCGAACGGCUGAGUAACACGUGGAGAACCUGCCCCCUCCCCCGGGAUAGCCGCCCGAAAGGACGGGUAAUACCGGAUACCCCGGGGUGCCGCAUGGCACCCCGGCUAAAGCCCCGACGGGAGGGGAUGGCUCCGCGGCCCAUCAGGUAGACGGCGGGGUGACGGCCCACCGUGCCGACAACGGGUAGCCGGGUUGAGAGACCGACCGGCCAGAUUGGGACUGAGACACGGCCCAGACUCCUACGGGAGGCAGCAGUGGGGAAUCUUGCGCAAUGGGGGGAACCCUGACGCAGCGACGCCGCGUGCGGGACGGAGGCCUUCGGGUCGUAAACCGCUUUCAGCAGGGAAGAGUCAAGACUGUACCUGCAGAAGAAGCCCCGGCU
rnacentral:rRNA from 1 species